CCUGCGGAUUAGUGGCUAUAGCUUCGACCAUAGUCAAGAUAUUACUUCAUUGUCCUUUCCACAAAUGGCUUCUUUCAGCUGUUUCAAAUUAUAUCUGAUCAGUUCCAGCUUUGUGGAUAUUAUCUCAUUUCCAUCCCUAUCAAUAAGGUAAUACAAAACCAACCUACACCAUCAAUCAAAGAAGUUCCAAUGAACCUAGUUACUCCAGUAGCAAUCAGAAGAAGGUAUUUAGUUCUCCAUAAAAUUACAGCCAAGGAGAAUGAGCUUAAACUAGAGUAGCUGAUCAGGUCGCAAGCAAUUAAUUGAAGUCAGUAUCGAGAUGAGACAGAUAUAAUAGAAAGCUGAAAUGGAGUGCUACGAGAUACUACAAUAAGAGGAUACCUAUUAAAGUGAAAGGUAAGUUCAAUAGGACGGUUGCAGAACCAAAAUUAUGAGAAUGAAUGCUAGGGCACUAAGGCCACUAUAUCCACAAGAUGAAUGACAUAGAAAUGUGAAUAUUUAAAAAAGAAAAAUAAAAGAAGUGUGACAAUACAAGAUUAGACAAAAUCAUCUGUCAGAAAGUGCAAAUAGCACAAGAAGAGAACAAAAAGAGAGAAAGGUCGUCCAAGAUGGUUUGAUCAUGUCCUACGUGACUGCACCUAUUCGCAAGUGUGAUACCAUGAAAAUGGGGUUGACCUAAAAUUACAUGGAAGAAUGUUAUUUCCAAAGACCGACAAUCUCUUGGAAUUCAUGCGGAAACGAAGAAUAGAACAUAGUGGAAGCAAAUACCUUACAGUUGUUGGUAAGUUACAUUACGUCCAAUUUUUGACGGGAGCCCUUUUAGUUUGGUUAGAGAGUUGUAUUACGUGUAGGAAUAGAAUUCGUAGUUUUAGGAACCCUUAACUUGUGUUAGAAGAUAUUGGAACGGAACGACUGCAACUGAAGUAAAAGGAUACUGAGCAUCUUAAGCCGCUGCAUCACAACUAGCCACCCUUCAUUGGGGAAUAUGGCUCUACUUUCUGCUAAGCCCAAAAGUGUCAAACUGCCAAUCCACAGACAUGGGGCUUCCUAUCAACCAUUAGGGCUCAGUUACCCUAAUACUACUGAUUCAAAAGCCAUAUAAUACUGUCUAUCCAGACAAAAGCACAUAUCAUGCAAUUAGUUUCUUAUCUUAACAAGUAGACGGCACAGGCACCAGUCAUACUGCCAGAGAUUAAGGAUUAUCACAUUCUCAAGCAUAAACUGAAGAGAGCAGCACCAUUCUUGCUGAUCUAUAAAUCAAACUAGUACAUGAAAGUCCAGCAGACAGAUUUUAAGAAGCCCAAUCUUCAGAGAAUGGGAUUGCAGGAUAUCUAAACAACUUUUUUCUUUUUGCUUUUUGACAAACAAGGACUUAAAGUACUUAUUACCCAGCUAAACACCUCAAACCUACAAUCUUCCAAGGGCAUAGGUGUCCAAAUGGAAAAUCCUGCAACCCUAUCAACCCCAAAUCCACCUCCACACACAAGAAUGAAAAGAUGAAGGAACAAAUGAGGCGAUAAAGAAGGGAAUUAUUUGCUAAGCAAAGAAAGUUGCAAGUCUUUAAGAAGGAAUGUUGAAGUGAUACGUACAAGAAUUUCUUCAGACAUAUAGGAGUUGCAUAUGCCAUAUAUCAUGAGAUUAAACGUAGGCAUGAGAAAUUAACUUGACCCUGAAAUUUCACUCUGCAAGCAGAAAAGAUAGAAAAUACAACUUACCCUCAAAGUGACAUCACCGAGAUCCAAUUUUAACGCAAUACUCAUAUUCACACAUUUCUUCUAAGUUGAUAAAGGUAUAUACAUGGAUACAAGAUGCACAUAAGCAAAACAAGGUAAACAAUGACAAAACUCUGCAAAAGCCAUUACAAAGAUGAAGAUUCAAGAAAAAAAUAUGAAAUUGCUAAAAGAAAAUAGGAGAUCGAGGGUAGCUAUACUCUAAGUGUAGAUUGGCACUUCUUCUGCUGCUUCUUGAACCUCUGCAAACUUUCUUCCAGUGAAGCCAUCUGGUAAAAAAUAGAGCUUACUUGCAAAAGAAAAGAACACUACUGCAGAAUGAACUGGUACAACAUCCUAAUCUAUCGAAUUAUUUCUGAAAGAACUAUACUUCUCCGCAGAACGUACUUAGAAGCUGAAAUUUUCAGAAACUUGACAAAGAUUAAUAAUUCUAAGUUCCUUUCUAAAAAAAAACUAGACUAUGUUGCAAAAGAAACAUCACCCAAGCAAUUGAUAGGGCUGACUCCACCUCUUCAAAAACAUGGUCCUCAAAUACAAAGAAUUAAUUUCCAACAUCUCUCUUAUGAUUAUGAGAAAUGGUAGUCCUUUUUAACCUCUUACCAAAUGCAUGCAUGAUAUUACUGUGUCUAUUAUCUCUAUAAUAAUUAUGAGAAAUGGUCAUGUCCCUCUUACCAAAUGCAUGCAUGAUAUCACUGUGUCUAUUAUCUCUAUAAUUAUGAGAAAUUGGUUCACGGGCAUUAAAUGCAUGAUAUUACUGUGUCUAUUAUCUCUAUAUUUUUCUUUCCAAAAAAGAUUAAAACUUUGAUCCCUUAAAUUAUCACUGGUUAACAACAAUUAAGUGAACCAUGAAAGACUACCAUUAUCUAAAACCAGCAAAAUAGUAACUAUCAUAAAUUAUUCCAAAGAAUUAAUCAACAAAAAAAAAAAAUACAAACAGAAACAACAGAUUUUGAAGCUUCCAUAAAAUUUACAGCGCCCAAAAAAGAAAAUUUUAUGAUAAAGCAUAAAAAGACAAAACACAUUUAAACACUAUAUUCUUGGGGGCAUAAUAGGCAACUGUAGUGAACUGACCUUCACCAAAUUAGAGAAAAAUUGAACGCCGGCAGUAAUCCACCAACACCAAGGAGGACGGCGGACGGCGGGGACAGCAGCGGCGACGAGAUUGUUAUUUGUAUGGGAUC
rnacentral:lncRNA from 1 species